GAGGGUAUAGCUCAAGUGGUAGAGUGCAUGCUUAGCAUGCACAAGGUCCUGGAUUCAAUCCCCAGUACCUCCU
rfam:Camelus ferus unplaced genomic scaffold scaffold765, whole genome shotgun sequence.